rnacentral:misc_RNA from 1 species
UUACACAUAAAUAUAUUAUGUAAAUGGAAAAGUGAAAUUGCCUUUUAUUAAUAAAAUAUGUACUAGAUACAUACAAAAUGAUAUGCUCUAGGGCAUAUUACUAACAAAAACUUGCCAGGCUCCCCCCUCCAGAGAGUGCAAUUGAAUUGCUUAUAGUCAACUGCAUGUUUUGAACUUGCAAUUGUUUUUGGUUUGCAUUACACACACACACACACACAUUAUUAUGCUAUAUUUCUUACUUUCAUUGGCACUAUGACGCUCAUAAGACUUCUUUUAACAUGCAG